AAGGGAAGUGCUUAUUCCAGACGAUCAUUGUAUGGGCACACGUGAGACUCUUCUGACUGUUAUGCCCGGCAAGCCAAUAAUUGGUGAUGUCCUUACCUUAGUUUGUUCGAUGAUGACCAAAAGGCCAUUUGGGCCAAAUAAAUUCAAAUUAGACAACAAAUGAUUUUUGCCACCGACAUUCUCUCAAAUUGUUUUAAGUUCGAAACAGAAAUGUUCCGGCAUAAUGAAAUACAUCAAGGAUAACUUUAUGGGAGACCUCGACGGUUUACACGAGAUUUUUGUGCCAAUUCACCUUAAUGGUCAUUGGUUUUCUCAUAGUGGUUAAUUUGCUUUAUGAAACCGUGAGAUAUAUGGACUCGUUCAAGCGUGGUACAUCGAUGACAGAGCGUAAGAAAGUCAUUGACGAUGUGUUAACUUAUCUUGAGAAGUUUGUAUCCGACAAAAACUUCCAAGAAACACCUUCACAUAAAAACCUUCAAUUUUCUAAAUAUAAAUUCUCUAAGUCAGCUGUCCCGCAACAAAAGGCCAAGUCGAAUGAUUGUGGUAUUUGGGUCACUGAAUGGAUGAUCCUCAACCACUAUUGGGGCGUCAAUAAGCCAUGGGUUGUCAAUGAUUACUCAAGGAUGUGAUUGGCUGUAGAUUUGGUGUACAAAUGGCACAAUCCGAAACGGGAUAUGAUAAAAGAGCUUGCUGUUGCUGACUGGAAUAAAAAGAUGCAGCAGUCUGUCCUUCAAACUUAGGAUUUUAAGACGCCUCUAGUUAAAAUUUUAUUAAUCGUAAUCGUGUAUUUUAAGAACACAUUUAUUUAGUUAAGUUAUGGAUUGAUUAGGCCAUUUUAAAU